UACGGAGGAUGCGAGCGUUAUCCGGAUUUAUUGGGUUUAAAGGGUGCGUAGGCGGAUCGUUAAGUCAGUGGUCAAAUUGAGGGGCUCAGCCCCUUCCCGCCAUUGAAACUGGCGAUCUUGAGUGGAAGAGAAGUAUGCGGAAUGCGUGGUGUAGCGGUGAAAUGCAUAGAUAUCACGCAGAACCCCGAUUGCGAAGGCAGCAUGCCGGCUUCCGACUGACGCUGAAGCACGAAAGCGUGGGGAUCGAACAGG
rnacentral:rRNA from 1 species